rnacentral:rRNA from 1 species
GAUGAACGCUGGCGGCGUGCUUAACACAUGCAAGUCGAACGAUGAAGCCCAGCUUGCUGGGUGGAUUAGUGGCGAACGGGUGAGUAACACGUGAGUAACCUGCCCUUAACUCUGGGAUACGCCUGGGAAACUGGGUCUAAUACCGGAUAGGAGCGUCCACCGCAUGGUGGGUGUUGGAAAGAUUUAUCGGUUUUGGAUGGACUCGCGGCCUAUCAGCUUGUUGGUGGGGUAAUGGCUCACCAAGGCGACGACGGGUAGCCGGCCUGAGAGGGUGACCGGCCACACUGGGACUGAGACACGGCCCAGACUCCUACGGGAGGCAGCAGUGGGGAAUAUUGCACAAUGGGCGCAAGCCUGAUGCAGCGACGCCGCGUGAGGGAUGACGGCCUUCGGGUUGUAAACCUCUUUCAGUAGGGAAGAAGCGAAAGUGACGGUACCUGCAGAAGAAGCACCGGCUAACUACGUG